AUGAGAGCUACACGAUUAUUUAAGGACCCUUAUUUUGGUGAGCAGAUAGGUUUCUUGGUGACUCCGAGUCCCUCAUGCCCUUGGCAUUUCCGGUUCCGACUUCCGUUCAGGUUUUUGUCACGGCGUAGUGAGGUGAACAUCUCAAGGAUAAUUUGUUUGUUUUUAUAUUUUUAGGGCGGUGUUGGUGGCGCGUGCAUUGAGGCGAAUUGGCGCCGGAGAUCGCAACAUUUAGCCGGUGGCUGAAUAUGUGUGUGUAUGUCGAGCUGCGGUACCUGUGAAUAAUCAUACAACUUCGCGUCUGGUGUUUGUUCAAUCUAAUGGAUCCAGUGAGUCAUGGUGGGACAGGGGAGGCUAGCUGCAUUUAGUCGGUGGUGUGAUUCACAGCGAGCUCAGUGUGCCAACACAACUUCUAUAUGGUGCAGUGUAUGAUUUUUAGUGUGAUUUUUGGUGUGACGCGGUUUGUUUGGAUGACCUCCCGAGUUGUAGUUGGCCUGCCUUGUCCCUGCCCAGCCUGGGCUUGGAGAAGUUCUUGGUUUUAAAACUCUUAUUGCGCUUCAUGGGAAAGCGAUUUUAUAUUUUCAUGUUAAGUUUUAAAUGAUGCUGAAGUGUCAUAAUAAAAUGUAAUUUUUUUAUA